rnacentral:rRNA from 1 species
GACGAACGCUGGCGGUGUGCCUAAUACAUGCAAGUCGAACGAAGUGGCGAACGGGUGAGUAACGCGUAAUCAACCUGCCCUUCAGAGGGGGACAACAGUUGGAAACGACUGCUAAUACCGCAUACUGAAGGAGGGGAUUGCGGCUGAUUAGCUAGUUGGAGGGGUAACGGCCCACAAAGGCGAUGAUCAGUCGCCUGGUGUGAUGGAUGGACGGCCAACUUGGGAAUUGGAAACGGCCCCGACUCCUACGGGAGGCAGCAGUGGGGAAUCUUCCGCAAUGGACGAAAGUCUGACGGAGCAACGCCGCGUGAUUGAUGACGGCCUUCGGGUUGUAAAGCUCUGUUAAUCGGGACGCGGUACCGGAAUAGAAAGCCACGGCUAACUACGUGCCAGCAGCCGCGGUAAUAC